rnacentral:lncRNA from 1 species
ACUCAGCAAUUGCAGAGAUAGAUGAGGAAUUAGAGGAUUUUAGAGAUGCCUGGUAUUGGAUGAAUUGUGCAUACUCAUCUGCAGAUAUCAAAAUUUCCUGAUCGGAAGAUCCAUUCAAUUUGUGUUCCGUAAUUUUAGUCAUCAUAGGAAUCACAUCAGUUACGGUGGUGGUUUUAACUUCAGCCAUAAGGACAACCAACCCAAAACGAUAGCAACAAAAGAAACACAGAAUCAAAAAACAGUACCCGG